GUGCAGAAAUCCAUAUCAUUCCAAAGGGUUCACAUACUUUUUCUUGCAACUGUAUAUUACUUUUAUAUCGCAUCCACUUAUAUUACCAUGAAUCAUAUGUUUUCUAGUGAACUUAAACUCUUUAGAUCAUUUGUAUUCGUGAAUUACAUUCCUACACCAUUAAUACCACCUAGUUACAAUUGCAUUAGUACUUUACAAUCAUAGUAUUCAAUUUGUAUAUUUACUAGACUCUUCCUGAAAUAUUCUAAUACACUUCUAAGAC